GCGCGGAGGACAACUUUUAGCCGGCAGCCCAGACCAGCGCGGCACCUGUCUCCGGAGUCUCCACCGCUCCUCCCGAUUCAUCCCAGGGAAAUUCUCAAGAAUACGCUCUACAAAUCUACGUGCGCAUCAUUUUCACCUCGCGUCGCGCCCGGGAGGAAGGAACGAGGCAAGGAGCUAAAGCAGCGUGCGUUCAGCCCUGGGGCAUUUUAUUAAUGCUUUUACGAGUUAGAAGAGUUGGGAUAAUUUGCCAUCUGGAGUUUCUCUGCCUUGCUGAUCUGAGCUCAGACCUGCCAAUUUACCAGAGAUAAUUGAUAACACCCUGUAACAGCUGAGAGGAAAAUGGAAGAAACGGAGAUACUUUUAGUGAAGCAGAAUAAACCACUGAACAGGAAAAAUGAGGAAGCUGUGAGUACCAGUGGAAGGAACGAGCCAGGAAGAGGGACUGGAACCAUCUCAGAAGCCAUGCCCCUCAGGCUGGAACUUGCCCUGUCUCCUCGCAGAUGAGUCUCUUCUUUCCGCCAGCUACCUCUUGUGUUUAAGAAUUAAAGGAAGAUGAGCUAGGAAUCAAGAAAUACGCAGAACUGAUUCCUGUCACUGGCGCCACCCUGCCACUUGCCCAGAGCUGUGGUAUAAAUUUUUUUAAUAGGCUGAAAUAAAAAUAUGAAUAGCAUUUUGGUAUUAAGCAUUAAAUUGAUAAAGGCUAUGAGAUACACCUGCUCUCAACCAUGUUAAUUUUUUAUUAUUGGUAUUAAUAAAUUAUUACUUACUAACAUAUUAACAAGAAUUGCAUUGAGAAACAAAGCAUCCACAGGCCAAAUCUUCUGAAUUUCAAAUGUUUAUAUUAAUGCGUUGUAUUCUAGAAAAGUAGAAUUGUCUUAAGUAGCUUUGUAAUAUAAAGUCAUCUAUCAGCCCAUUACACCUAUUAGAAUGUUUUAACCUUUAUUUCCCACUUUUUUGUUUCUAGACUGAGUGUACUUGGUCUGGUAUUUGUGGCAUAACUUACGGAACACAUAAGAAUGAUACAGAUACUAUUUAAUGAUGACCUAAUACAAGCUUAGAUAGCUAAGGUGAAAGCUUCUAUGGCCUUAACAUUUUCCUCUUGAAGAAUGUAUUUUCUGUAAUAAAAUACAGUGGCUACUUGAAAUCUAUAAACUUAUGUGAGGUCUGGAUAAAUCUGAGCAACUUUCUUCUUUGUGCUCCAGGAACCUACGCACUAUAUAUAUAAAUAAAGCUUAAGUAAA
rnacentral:lncRNA from 1 species